rnacentral:rRNA from 1 species
AGCGGAGGAAAAGAAACUAACAAGGAUUCCCCUAGUAACGGCGAGUGAAGAGGGAAGAGCUCAAAUUUUAAAUCUGCCUUGUUCCAAGGUCGAGUUGUAAUUUGAAGAAGCGUUUUCUUGGGCUCGCGGCCGGUAGAAGUUCUUUGGAACAGGACAUCAUAGAGGGUGACAAUCCCGUCCGUGACCGGUCGUGCGUUCAUMUACGAUACGCUUUCAAAGAGUCGAGUUGUUUGGGAUUGCAGCUCCAAACGGGUGGUAAACAUCACCUAAGGCUAAAUAUUGGCGAGAGACCGAUAGCGAACAAGUACCGUGAGGGAAAGAUGAAAAGAACUUUGAAAAGAGAGUUAAACAGUACGUGAAAUUGUUGAAAGGGAAACGAUUGAAGUCAGUCGUGCUGGCGCGAAAUCAACCCUCUCGUCUUGAGAUCACAUGGCGCGACGAGCCUCAAAACCGUCACGAAGCGUGAACUCUUGACGAAAAGGUGCACUUUCGUGUCCGCUGGUUAACAUCAAUUUCGAACGUCAUAAAAAGGCUGGAGGGAUGUGGCUCCUUCGGGAGUGUUAUAACCUUUAGCGGAAUGUGGCGUUCGGGAUUGAGGAUUGCAACGAAUACCUUCAGGGCUGUUCCACCUGGCUUCUCAUUGGUAUCCUGGUGACGACAGCUUGCUGACGUCGUUAGGAUCAGCUUCUGAACAGGCUAGAGUGUGAGCAAAUUCGUUAAGGAUGUUAACGUAAUGGCUUUAAACGACCCGUCUUG